UGCUUUCCAAUGAUCCAAUAGCUCAGAACUUAAUACCACAUAAUAUAAAUCAUUCUGAAAUUAAUGCCUAUCCAUAUCCCCCACCUCUUCAUCUCUCUCAACUCAGAGACAUGAACCCUAGCCGCCGCCCCAAAAUUCCCAAAUCCCAUCGGCGGCGGCGUGACCCAAUCCUCACCAAACUAACACCCUAGAAUCUUCUUCAGCCCCACAGUCCAAAUUUCGAGUCCUUCACCCUGGAAUCACAGCCCUAUCUCGCCUAGUCUUAAAUUUGAGGGCCGGAGGCCAGACUUUUUUCUACCAAAUCGGACCCAGACACUCACCACUCUCUUUCCCUCCCAAAAGCCUCAAGUCUAUCCCGUCAAGCCCUCUUUAAAACUCAUAGAGAUCAAGUCUCGAUGGACGUGCAUGAGUUGAGCCAGAAAAGGUACCCCUUGGUUUUUUUCAAAGAGGAGCACUCAUGUGGUACCUCUUUCCGGGUUUAGGUCAAAUAAGACGGGUAUAGCUAGAUAGCCAUGGCAGUAGGUAUUCACUUCUUCUAUCUUGCUGUUUUUCUUUUAACAAAUAAUGAAAUAAUUCGCUCAAUGUUAGUUUAGCUGGUUUUAGGUUUGAAUUCAGGGGUAUGCCGGUAGAUAAGCAGGUUUCCAAUUUCAGUUAAGGAUCAUUAGGGUCAACAUCGUUGUUUUUAUUGAUUUCUUGGUGCCAUGUUUGAUUUGAUUGCAUCAUUGGUUGAAUUAAGAUCUUUUAUUAAUUUUUGCCUCACUUAAUUGUGAUAUCGAUUUGUUAGGUGCAUUGCGUACAAAUUAUUGCUUCUGAAUAUCUCGUUAAAGUUCAUUUUUCCAUCUAUGGGUUUAUUGGUUUAAGUUUCCAAUUGGUAUUUUCUUUGGGCUCAAGACUCUAUUUGGGGCCUUAGGUUUACUUGACCGAGGCUGGCCUGCUGAACGUAAAAAAACAGGGAUGUUAGAGGUGUUUUGGACAUUUGAGGUUUUAAGGGAAUCAUUUUUUAUUGGGGAAAGUUCUAGAUGAUAAGAUGAGAGCUGGUUUGUUAAGGGCAUGAGAUUUUUAGAUAUUUUUAAAAGGUUAAAAGGGGUAAAAUGAUCAUCAAUUAAUGGGGUAAAAAUGAGAAAUUGUCAGAUAGGUUAGGGCUGCCUUAGGCAUGCCUAUAUAAAGACCUCUUUCUUUUCAUAUUGAGCAGAUUUUGACACCCUGAAGACUGAAAAAGAUAGAAAGAAAUACUGAAGUUUAGAAUCAAUUGAUUUCCUUCUAAAAAUCCAAAAAAUACUUAAAGUUGUUUGAGUUGGUUUAGGUUUCUUAGUUUUAUUUCUCUGAAUCAUUCUGUUGAUUUAGAAUUUCCAGAAAAUUUCUGAAACUGGGCAUUUGGUGAUAGAAAUUCUUUAAGCUUUGUUUAAAGUCGUUUUAUUGGAGCUUGUCUACUAUCCAUUGAUUUUUACUGACAUUUUCAUGGUUUGACUGACCAAAUCUGGGUUGUGCUACUGCUUCCUGCUGACACUCUCAUUCAUUCUGCUAUUUUUCAUUUCCAGGUAUAUGGCUUUGAACCUUACUUAAUGUAAAGCUGGAUUGGAAGAAAUGAAAUGGAAAACAAGAUUUGAAGUGUAGAAGCAGAUUUACUUGUUAUUCAACAGAAUUUCCUCAUUUUUUGUGUCUCUCAUAAUGCGAUUCAUAGUAUAUUGGUUGAUAUGGAAUUUGAAAUAGUUAUCUUUCAUGUUUGUACUUGACUUGGAAUCUCUGAGAUGUUGUAGUGGAAGAUUUGGGUUGGAUUAUUGUAUCUUAAAUGUGAUUUUCUUUUAGCUAUAGAAAUGGUCAUGCUUGGUGAAGAUUGUAAUCCAGAUUAGUUGCGAUGGUUAGUAUAGGAUAGAGACAGAUUGAUAACAUGCCAUAUGCUGUUUGAAGGAUAUCAUGGGAAGUUAUUUUGCUGUGAAUAUUCUGUUUAUAAACCUGUGUUGAAAAUGAUUUUAAUAGUUUAUUAAUAUUGUUUAAAGUUGACAUGAGUCAUCUUAGUAUUCUACAUUUUGAUAAGUGUUUGUGAGUUUGUCUUUGCUGUAGCAUGUAUUUAAAGAAUCACUUUUAAGCUUAGUUAUUUGCCUAACUCUUAUUGAAUCUAUUGACAUAAGUCAUCUUAGGAUUCUACGUUUUGAUAAGGUUUUUUGAGUUUUUCUUUGCUGUAGCAUGUAUUUAAAGAAUCACUUUUAAGCUUAGUUAUUUGCCUAACUCUUAUUGAAUCUGCUGAAGGCUUAUCUGGUAAAUGGUCCAAUGAUUGUACGGUAUUAAAAGCCAUGCUAGGUGCAGUCUUCAUUUUUCAAAAGCUAGUAUGUUGCUUGAUUGAAGACUCGAUCUCGAGUCUUACAUCCUAAUGCUCAACUCUCCCAGGUUUGAGCCUACAAUGGGCCUGGAAUGGAGAUCAGCUUGCAUUUCUUCACGUGAAGGACCAGUUGGUCGAGCCCAAGGCUAUUUUGCGUUUCUUUCUGAUAUCCUUUCUUAUGUUUGUUGUUUUAGUUUAAAAU
rnacentral:lncRNA from 1 species